ACGGAGGACUAAGGAGGCUAAGUCUGAUGAAGCAAGACUCUACAGUACAAAGCUCUUAGAAAAAAGGGUUGGAGAGAGCGGCUUUCAUUGGAGAAUAUCACAUGGCUGACUGUAGUACCCAACAUUC